UGCCAUGGAAGCUAAAAAUGAAGAUAUUGGACUGUAACAUCUUAGGUUUUACGUUUUUUUGGCACCCAAAAAUAAUUUAAAUAAGUUAACUGCAUAUUAAUUUGUUUUACCCUUUCUGCCUUCUCCUGUUUUAUGGAGCCACCUAAACUUGUAAUUAUACGUAGCUAUUCUUUGGGUCAUAUAGAAUGGAAAAAGCCAUAAGGUUCCUGAAAGUACUGAAUUC
rnacentral:lncRNA from 1 species